rnacentral:lncRNA from 1 species
GCAGGGAGCCCUGUUCCACAUUCUGGCGGCCUACUCGGUGAACGACACGGACAAGGAGCAGAUGUCCACCGGCAUCUAUACCCCAAAGUGGUUCCUGCAGUGCUUCCUCGGCCCCCCGGCACCCCUGAUCCCGGACCUGCCCCCUGCCCCCGGGGAGGGCCCAGCUCAGCCCCACCCUCCGAGGAGCCAGGCCCGACCCUGGGGCCCUGAGGCUGAGGCUCGCAGCCCAGCCCGACCUGGAGAAGUCCAGAGGGUCCCUGGAGGAGGUUCCGGGGGGCGAGCCAUCUCUGUCUCAGGUCCCCCGCGGGAGGCCAGGUCAGCCCGGGGUGUGGACGGGCCCUCGGCCCAUUGGGCGGCCAGCCCGGGGUCCUCUCGAGGCGUGGUGUCGUCAAGUGGGGGCAGAGUCUGUGCCCCCAGGGGUGUGGGGGGUGCUGGCCGGGUUGGAACCCAGAGUGGCCAGGAGCCCUGAUCUCCCUGGGAGGAGGGCACGCACGGGGGAGGGGGGGGCGGGGGGGGCCUCAUCGGGGGCAGCCGGGGGGCAGAUGGGAGGCCUAGCCUAGCCCCAGCCGAGACCCCCAGGGGCCCUGCUCUGGCCGCUCCUCCCACCCCGCUGUCCCCUAGACCCCCUUCCCGCUCACCCUGAAGCUGGCUGGCCUGGGGGCACCGGGGGCCACAGGGCGGGGCCCUCUGGGUCUGACUCUCGCCCACCACCCAGAGCGCCUCCUGAAGCUGCCCCUGGAAGUGCUCCGGGAGUUCCUCCCUGACACUCUGGCGCAGCCCUGGGCCCUGGAGGACAAGGCGGUGCUCAGACACCUUCGGGCCUCCAUGACCCAGCUCCGGAGGAUGCGGUGCGACCUGCCCCCCACCCAGGGGCGGCCAGACGCCAGGGUCAGGACCCCACAGACUCUACUGCGACUCAGCCUCUGCCCGCGGCCAGGACGGGCCUGGGACAGAGUGACAGCUGGGGAGCCUCAGGUUACCAGGGUCUGUGCUAAGCGCCCUGAGAGGUCUGUGCUCCCACUGUCCAGGGGGCCUGGGCUGCCCGGGCUCCGGGGCCCUUCAUCCCCUCCCCGCCCCAGGCCUGUACACCUGGGGCACAGAGGGCCCGCGGGGCGGUCAGCGUGGCCCCAGAGGGGACGUCAGGACAGCAGGCCCUUGCAGCUCACACACCUGGGCCACCCUCACCAGGCGGGCUCAGCGUGCACACCUGGUGCUGCUGGAUCUCUCGCACCAGAGUGUGGAGGGCACCCUGCAUGCCCUAGAGGGUAGGGGCUGGGUGAGCGUGGGGCUCGGCCUGGGGGGCAGGCACUGUAGGGGACCGAGGGACCCCAGCCCCGGCCCCACCCCGACUCCCACACACAGGCAGCCCCAGGGCUCCCCCCAUGGGCAGCCGUCUCCUCAGGAGCUUCCCCCAGGGCGGCCCCGAGGUCUGGCUCCCCCUAGAGAGGCAUCGGGGAGAAGAGAAUCAGCCGGCGCUCAGCGGGGACCUACUGCCACCCGCGGGAAUGUGGCUGAGCCGGACCUUCCAGCUCAGCUGACCCUCCGGCACGAGGGAGCCCGGGUCGGCCAGGAGAACCCAGCUAGCCACCCAGCACCAGCACCAGAAAUGAUGGUGUUUCAACCAUUUCGGCGUCAGGACGACGCGGCCCGAGGAUCAGAUCGCGGCACAGCGACACACACACACACACCCCUAACCCAACCAACGUCGGAAUCCCCCAAUUGUUGUCAGACAGCAGCCAGACGGUUACAGACACGACGCUGGGGUCCCCGGUAGGACACACGGAGGAUGCUCCAGACCACGGCUGCAGAGGCGCUGGAGGCCCAGGGAUGUGCCUGCGGGUGCCGACGGGGAGCGCAGGGCGGCGGGAAGCACCCUACAGAGGGGGGCCCCUCCUGGGAAAGGACGCCGGGUCCCCGCAAAGGCUCCGGAUGCUGAUAUCUGUCCUCCUCUCCUUCAGCUUCUGGUUUUCUCCCUAUUUUGUUCUUCCUGAUUCUCCUUCGGCCUCCACCCUGCAUCCGAGCCACUGACCACACAGGCUUCUUUACGAUGUCGGGUCCCAAAAGGAGGCCGAGCUCUGGCUCCCGGGAUCGGGAAGGAUCAUCGCCGAGGUUUAUGCUGAUCCCCCGAGCUCGUGCCUUCCCGGCUCUUCUCUCCUGCAGAACCAGGGGAGGCACGGGCCUUACUGAGAAGGAAGCCCACUCCCACUCGGGCGGAACCGUCCCUCGUGGAGGACGUCAUCUGGGCCAAGGAGUGCAAGCGGGGCGAUCAAGAACAGGUCCCAGGUUAGACAUAGUCUGCUUUGAGGUUUGUCCUGAAGCGAGCACUCACCUUCGAUGUCAUGCUUUAUUAGUUCAUCCAUUUAUUAUUUGUUAAGAUUUUAUUUUUAUGUCCUCUCUACACCCAACAUGGGAGUUCAAACUCACAGUCCUGAGAUCAAGGUCCCCCGACCAGGCCGGCCAGGCACCCCAGGGCCAUGUUUCUCAUCUCUUUCUUGGCUCGCCUUUCUCUGCACCCAACUGGGACAUCGAGUCCAUGACAGAGGAGCUUAAGCUACCUGCGAACCUAGAACGUUUUCUCUGUAUCCCCAUCCUAGAACGACCUUCGCCAUUGAAUAGCAAUUUAAAUAAAACGGCAGUCAAAUGACUCCUGGUAAAGGAAAUGGCCAACUUGUCACAUGUGUGGGCCCUGCCCCUUGGGCUCCCGGGGAGGCUCUGCUUUCUUUAACAUCGAUCAAGGUCCCAAUGACUCCACCGCACCUCGACGCGGGGGCUCAGUUUCUGCCCUGACACAGGCAGCACAUCGGUUUCAAUUAAUACCUAUCAAUCAAUCAAAGGGAGCCUGGCUGCUCGGUGUAGUUCGUAAGAACACGCGACUGUUGUUCUUGGGGUGGAGAGUUCAAGCCCCAUGUGGGUGUAGAGAUGACAGAAAAAUAAAAUCUUAAAAAGAAAAUCAGUCGGUCUGGGGGAGACACAGCCCCGGAUCCCACAGGGGCAGGGAGCCAGCUGACGGGUCUACGAAC